rnacentral:rRNA from 1 species
CCUACGGGGGGCUGCAGUGAGGAAUAUUUGUCAAUGGGCGUAAGCCUGAACCAGCCACGUCGCGUGAGGGAUGAAGGUUCUAUGGAUCGUAAACCUCUGUUAUAAGGGAAUAAAGUGUGGGACGUGUCCUGUUUUGUAUGUACCUUAUGAAUAAGGAUCGGCUAACUCCGUGCCAGCAGCCGCGGUAAUACGGAGGAUCCGAGCGUUAUCCGGAUUUAUUGGGUUUAAAGGGUGCGUAGGCGGCGUUGUAAGUCAGCGGUGAAAGUCUGUGGCUCAACCAUAGAAUUGCCGUUGAAACUGGGAGGCUUGAGUAUGUGUGAGGCAGGCGGAAUGCGUGGUGUAGCGGUGAAAUGCUUAGAUAUCACGCAGAACCCCGAUUGCGAAGGCAGCCUGCCAAGCCAUGACUGACGCUGAUGCACGAAAGCGUGGGGAUCAAACAGGAUUAGAUACCCCGGUAGUC